rnacentral:rRNA from 1 species
GACAGAGGGUGCAAACGUUGUUCGGAAUUACUGGGCGUAAAGCGCGUGUAGGCGGCCCUGUAAGUCGGGUGUGAAAUCCCACGGCUCAACCGUGGAAGUGCACGCGAAACUACAGGGCUAGAGUCCUGGAGAGGAAGGUGGAAUGCUUGGUGUAGAGGUGAAAUUCGUAGAUAUCAAGCGGAACACCGGUGGCGAAGGCGGCCUUCUGGACAGUGACUGACGCUGAGACGCGAAAGCGUGGGGAGCAAACAGG